rnacentral:rRNA from 1 species
UACGUAGGUGGCAAGCGUUGUCCGGAUUAUUGGGUUUAAAGGUGCGUAGGCGGCGCGGUAAGUCGGGUGUGAAAUCUCGGGCUUAACUCCGAAACUGCAUUCGAUACUGCCGUGCUUGAGGACUGGAGAGGAGACUGGAAUUUACGGUGUAGCGGUGAAAUGCGUAGAUAUCGUAAGGAAGACCAGUGGCGAAGGCGGGUCUCUGGACAGUUCCUGACGCUGAGGCACGAAGGCCAGGGAGCAAACGGG